rnacentral:rRNA from 1 species
UACGAAGGGGGCUAGCGUUGCUCGGAAUCACUGGGCGUAAAGGGCGCGUAGGCGGCCAUUCAAGUCAGGGGUGAAAGCCUGUGGCUCAACCACAGAAUUGCCUUUGACACUGUUUGGCUAGAGACCGGAAGAGGUAAGUGGAACUGCGAGUGUAGAGGUGAAAUUCGUAGAUAUUGGGAAGAACACCGGUGGCGAAGGCGGCGAGCUGGCCUGUACCUGACGCUGAGGCGCGACAGCGUGGGGAGCAAACAGG